rnacentral:misc_RNA from 1 species
UAAUAAGUGUUUUAUGGCACUUUUUAAAUCCAUAUCCACCUUGUGUGCAAUGUCAGUCGAUCUUCUUCAUGGAGAUCGACCAAACAUCAACCUUUAUCUUUUAACUCUUUGUCUAAAAAAUAUUAUGAAUAAACAAUUCAAAAUA